rnacentral:rRNA from 1 species
UACAGAGGCCUCAAGCGUUAGGCGGAAUCACUGGGCUUAAAGCGCGUGUAGGCGGAUCGUUAAGUGCCUUGUGAAAUCCCACGGCUCAACCGUGGAACUGCUGGGCAUACUGGCGAUCUUGGGUCACUCAGGGGCAACUGGAACAAGCGGUGGAGCGGUGAAAUGCGUAGAUAUCGUAAGGAAGACCAGUGGCGAAGGCGGGUCUCUGGACAGUUCCUGACGCUGAGGCACGAAGGUCAGGGGAGCAAACGGG